rnacentral:lncRNA from 1 species
GGGGGAGGGGGACGGGAGAGAGGGAGAGAGGGAAAGAAGGACAUGGAAACUUACAGUGAAAUUUUCGUUGUUUAUAGCUUUCUUGGGGAAGAAAACACAUGCACAAAUCCUGGUGUAAGGAAUAUUUUAAGCAUAUAUCUUCAAUAUCAUUCAUCCAGGACCGAGCAAGACCAACACUCUUCCUCCUCCUCUGCCUACUCAAUGUGAAGACAAUGAGGAUGAACACCUUUAUGAUGCUCCACUUCCACUUAUUGAAUAGUGCUACACAUGAAACUUGUAACCAGUUACUACAGGCGAAAGCAAAUCCAUGUCUUCAGGCUGGUGUCAUCAGGGAGAGAAGCUUUGGUUUCCACAUAAGGAUAUAAGAUCAUUGAUGUAAAACAAGUGAGUUUCACUUUAUACCCAGGACAUGUAACCUCUCAAAUUGAGAGAAUGGAUUGGAGAGAUAUUGUUGACCAUGUUUUCCCCUGUAUCUCACCUUCCCCUCUCCAAGACUUCCUUGUCAGUUACCCAUAUUGAUAUCAGUUUAUCCACAUCCAUGCUUUCAAGUUUAAACAAAGAAACUAGGCAAAGGCAGCUAUGUAUUCGCUAGGAUUAGGGAGGAGAAGAUAAUGAACCACUGGAUAGUGAGAAGAAAGAGAGGUGGAGAAAGUGAGAGACCCCAGUAACAGAGGACAGGGACACAUUGCUAAGGAUAGGGACACAUUCACUGUAAUAUAGAAGGCCAUGCUUAUAUGUAAAAUAUGCAGUAAUUGUAUAUAUAUGUACAAAAGUGAUGACACACAUAUGCACAUAAACAAAACACAAUUACUGUCUAUGUUUCUUUAUUUGUGACCUAAUGUUUUAUGUUGUUUGUAACUGAAAAAAAAAUUCCCUUCUGAAUAAAAUGUCAAUUUUGCGAUUGCA